UUAAUUGAAGCCAAAUUAGCGGCAUUUUAUUGUUAAUAAUUUUAUUGAUUAACUAUCCAAUUAAA
rnacentral:tRNA from 1 species